rnacentral:rRNA from 1 species
GACGAACGCUGGCGGCGUGCUUAACACAUGCAAGUCGAACGGUAAGGCCCUUCGGGGUACACGAGUGGCGAACGGGUGAGUAACACGUGGGUGAUCUGCCCUGCACUUCGGGAUAAGCCUGGGAAAAUGGGUCUAAUACCGGAUAGGACCACUGCCUGCAUGGGUGGUGGUGGAGAGAUUUUGCGGUGUGGGAUGGGCCCGCGGCCUAUCAGCUUGUUGGUGGGGUGAUGGCCUACCAAGGCGACGACGGGUAGCCGGCCUGAGAGGGUGACCGGCCACACUGGGACUGAGAUACGGCCCAGACUCCUACGGGAGGCAGCAGUGGGGAAUAUUGCACAAUGGGCGCAAGCCUGAUGCAGCGACGCCGCGUGAGGGAUGACGGCCUUCGGGUUGUAAACCUCUUUCAGCACCGACGAAGCGCAAGUGGCGGUAGGUGCAGAAGAAGGACCGGCCAACUACGUGCCAGCAGCCGCAGUAA